rnacentral:rRNA from 1 species
GUUUCAGCCGCCGCGGUAAUACAGAGGGUGCAAGCGUUGUUCGGAAUUACUGGGCGUAAAGCGCGCGCAGGCGGGUCCUGUAAGUCGGAAGUGAAAUUUCGGAGCUCAACUCCGAAGCUGCUUCUGAUACUGCGGAUCUGGAGACCGGUAGAGGCUGGUAGAAUUACAGGUGUAGCGGUGGAAUGCGUAGAUAUCUGUAAGAAUACCCGUGGCGAAGGCGGCCAGCUGGGCCGGGUCUGACGCUGAGGCGCGAAAGCGUGGGGAGCAAACAGGAUUAGAAACCCUCGUAGUCC